AAAUGUUGUUAAAAAGUGAUGCAUACAAGUGUUUCAGAAGUCUGUCUAGGAAUAGAACAACAACUGAAGCUGACCAGUUGAUGGAAGAUACUGCAGAGUUUGGCAGGGAAAUAACCCAAGACAGCAAAGCGGCUCUUUUGGCGCAUUUACCAAGAGGACUAACAUGGCCACAAAUUCAUGAGAUCAUGCAGGAGCCGUACAGUAUAACAGCAGUACAAGUUCUAUAAAAGAUCCACGACCUACUGAAGCCCAGCUAAUUAACAAAAAAGUUUUUAAAAACUGUAAUUUUAUCCCACCUGGGUACUUAUAAUUUACUAAGCUGCCUACACAAGUUUUAGACUUGCAAUUACAUUUUAAAUUGUCACUUGGAAAGUAAUACAUCUACAUGCAUUAUGUUCUUAAUUUCUUUGAACAAUAAAAUUAUAUAAAAGUAUUUUAAUGAAAUUAAGCACCUAAAUUGCAUUAAAGUGAAAGUAGCUGAGAACAAGAUGUGUUUGUAAAACACAAUGUCCCCCUAUAUGACGUUUGACCUUGAUGGAUGACCUUGACCUUGACCCUUCACCACUCAAAAUGUGCAGCUCCAUAAGAUACACAUGCAUGUCAAAUAUAAAAUUGCUAGCUUCAAUAUUGCAGAAGUUACAUUACAUGAGCAAUUUUGACCCAUAUAUUUGACCUAGAUGGAUGACCUUGACCUUUCACCACUCAAAAUGUGCAGCUCCAUAAGUUGCACAUGCAUGCCAAAUAUCAAGUUGCUAUCUUCAAUAUUGCAAAAGUUUUCAUAAAAUAAGCGAUUUGGGCCACAUAUAUUUGACCUCUGACCUUGAAGGUUGACCUUGACCUUUCACCACUCAAAAUGUGCAGCUCCACAAGUUACACAUGCAUGCCAAAUAUCAAGUUGCUAUCUUCAAUAUUGCAAAAGUAUUCAUAAAAUAAGCAAUUUGGGCCACAUAUAUUUGACCUCUGACCUUGAAGGAUGACCUUGACCUUUCACCACUCAAAAUGUGCAGCUCUAUGAGAUACACAUGCAUGCCAAAUAUCAAGUUGCUAUCUUCAAUAUUGCAAAAGUAUUCAUAAAAUAAGCAAUUUGGGCCACAUAUAUUUGACCUCUGACCUUGAAGGAUGACCUUGACCUUGACCUUUCACCACUCAAAAUGUGCAGCUCCAUGAGAU